rnacentral:rRNA from 1 species
GAUGAACGCUAGCGGGAGGCCUAACACAUGCAAGCCGAGCGGUAUUUAUUCUUCGGAAUAGAGAGAGCGGCGUACGGGUGCGGAACACGUGUGCAACCUGCCUUUAUCAGGGGGAUAGCCUUUCGAAAGGAAGAUUAAUACCCCAUAAUAUAUCUGAUGGCAUCAUUAGAUAUCGAAAACUCCGGUGGAUAGAGAUGGGCACGCGCAAGAUUAGAUAGUUGGUGAGGUAACUGCUCACCAAGUCAGUGAUCUUUAGGGGGCCUGAGAGGGUGGACCCCCACAAUGGUACUGGGAAACGGACCAGACUCCUACGGGAGGCAGCAGUGAGGAAUAUUGGACAAGGGGUGCGAGCCUGAUCCAGCCAUCCCGCGUGAAGGACGACGGUUCUAUGGAUUGUAAACUUCUUUUAUACUGGGAUAAACCUACCCUCGUGAGGGUAGCUGAAGGUACAGUAUGAAUAAGCACCGGCUAACUCCGUGCCAGCCGCCGCGGUAA